UACAGAGGGUGCGAGCGUUAAUCGGAAUUACUGGGCGUAAAGCGUGCGUAGCCGGUUAUGUAAGUCGGAUGUGAAAGCCCCGGGCUCAACCUGGGAAUUGCAUUCGAGACUGCAUGGCUAGGAUGCGGAAGAGGGAAGCGGAAUUUCCGGUGUAGCGGUGAAAUGCGUAGAUAUCGGAAGGAACACCAGUGGCGAAAGCGGCUUCCUGGUCCAGCAUCGACGUUCAGGCACGAAAGCGUGGGGAGCAAACAGG
rnacentral:rRNA from 1 species